GCUCUCUGAAGACCUAGUGGCGAACGGGUGAGUAACACGUGAGAAACCUGCCUCGGAGUGGGGAAUAACUCGGGGAAACUCGAGCUAAUACCGCAUACCUUCAGAUGGUCGCAUGGCCGACUGAAGAAAGAAUUUCGCUCUGGGAGGGUCUCGCGGCCUAUCAGCUAGUUGGUGGGGUAACGGCCUACCAAGGCAGCGACGGGUAGCUGGAUUGAGAGAUCGAUCAGCCACACUGGGACUGAGACACGGCCCAGACUCCUACGGGAGGCAGCAGUGGGGAAUCUUGCGCAAUGGGCGAAAGCCUGACGCAGCAACGCCGCGUGCGGGAUGACGGCCUUCGUGGUUGUAAACCGCUUUCAGCAGGGACGAAAAUGACGGUACCUGCAGAAGAAGCUCCGGCUAACUACGUGCCAGCAGCCGCGGUAAUACGUAGGGGGCAAGCGUUGUCCGGAAUCAUUGGGCGUAAAGAGCUCGUAGGCGGUUCAGUAAGUCGGGUGUGAAAGCUCCGAGCUCAACUCGGAGAGGCCACUCGAUACUGCUGUGACUAGAAUCCAGUAGGGGAGUGUGGAAUUCCUGGUGUAGCGGUGAAAUGCGCAGAUAUCAGGAGGAACACCAGCGGCGAAGGCGGCACUCUGGGCUGGUAUUGACGC
rnacentral:rRNA from 1 species